UACGUAGGGUGUAAGCGUUAAUCGGAAUUACUGGGCGUAAAGCGUGCGCAGGCGGUUUUGUAAGCCAGAUGUGAAAGCCCCGGGCUCAACUCGGGAACUGCGCUUGAUACUGUCGAGCUAGAGUGUGGAAGGGGCGAUUGGAAUUCCGUGUGUAGCGGUGAAAUGCGUAGAUAUACGGAGGAACACCAGAGGCGAAGGCGGAUCGCUGGGCCAACACUGACGCUGAGACGCGAAAGCUAGGGUAGCAAACGGGAUUAGAAACCCCGGUAGU
rnacentral:rRNA from 1 species